AUGGAUGGAGAGAGAGAGAGUUCGGUUUGGGUUAUGGAUGGAGAGAGAGAGAGUACGGUUUGGGUUAUGGAUGGAGAGAGAGAGAGUACAGUUUGGGUUAUGGAUGGAGAGAGAGUACGGUUUGGGUUAUGGAUGGAGAGAGUACAGUUUGGGUUAUGGAUGGAGAGAGAGAGAGUACAGUUUGGGUUAUGGAUGGAGAGAGAGAGUACAGUUUGGGUUAUGGAUGGAGAGAGAGAGAGUACAAGAGUACAGUUUGGGUUAUGGAUGGAGAGAGAGAGUAUGGUUUGGGUUAUGGAUGGAGAGAGAGAGAGUAGAGUACAGUUUGGGUUAUGGAUGGAGAGAGAGAGUACGGUUUGGGUUAUGGAUAGAGAGAGAGAGAGUACGGUUUGGGUUAUGGAUGAGAGAGAGAGUACGGUUUGGGUUAUGGAUGGAGAGAGAGAGUACGGUUUGGG
ensembl:lncRNA